UACGAAGGGGGCUAGCGUUGUUCGGAAUUACUGGGCGUAAAGCGCACGCAGGCGGAUUUAUAAGUCAGGGGUGAAAUCCCGGGGCUCAACCUCGGAAUUGCCCUUGAUACUGUCUAUCUUGAGUCCGGGAGAGGUGAGUGGAAUUCCUAGUGUAGAGGUGAAAUUCGUAGAUAUUAGGAAGAACACCAGUGGCGAAGGCUGCUCACUGGCCCGGUACUGACGCUCAUGUGCGAAAGCGUGGGGAGCACACAGG
rnacentral:rRNA from 1 species